rnacentral:lncRNA from 1 species
GGGAGGGUGGAUGGUGUGAAGAGAAUACCUGUGUGUACCAUCACAUCCCAGGGAUGUAGGUCAGAGGGACCAGUGAGGGCUCCACCAAAAACCUACAAAAGCACGCGAGAAAGAAACAAUCUAGGUUUAAAUGUGCCAUGGCCUAGAGAUUGUGAAGGCUUUCACAGUGGAAAGGAUUAAGUUUGCCUUCAGAUCAACACUGCAGCAGUGUAAAAUAGAAGUUUAUUCCUCUUAGAUAGAAGUGACCGAGUAAUUCAUGGAGAGUCUUUUCAGACAGGUUCUAUAUGCUUCACUGCACCCAUAGCCCGUGUGUGUGAGUCUCAGAGGAAGCUGCUCAAGUCCCAGACUUCCCAGAAAAGGAAGAAGAGGGGAAGCGUAUGCCUCCUCCCUUCAAGGAGGCCUUCGGGCUAUCCCGCCCAACCCCUUUCUUAUACCCCAUUCAUCAGAGUUCAGUCACCUGGUCACAUUUAGCCAACAGACUGGAGGAGGUGCAACCUCAACCCCAGUAGUGGUGGGCCCAGCCGAUCAUCGUGAUCUUGUCUAAAGUGCCAGAGGCAUUCCAUGACCUCUGUCCCUCCAUUUUUAUGACACCUAUCAGGAGCUCUUGCUCCACACCAGGAAGGACCAGUGCAGCAGCUGUGGCCCAGAGAAGGAAGUAGGCGAAAAGGAAGACACCACAGCCUGCCUGCAUAGACCAGGCAGGGUGAGGAUCCAGCAGAAGCUCCUCCUGCCUUGGUCUUCUUUGACAGUCAGUCGGUCUACACGUUCCACUCUCUUCUUUCUGUAUUCUGUGACGCUGCAACCUUGGGGACUUUCUCGUACCUCCCAGAGGCUGGAGAACGUGCUGCCUUUGAAACCGUUCCUUGCUUCUCAAGAGGAACCCGCUGCCAGCAGUGAAGCCUCUAGUGGUUUUUAUUCUACUCUAAGCACAUGCAGUAAACCAUGCAGGAAGUUCUGUAUGCACACUGGAAUUGGAGGAAAAGUCACAAUUACUACUAACUCAAUGUAAGAAUUUCUACUGAGACUAUCCUGCAGUAACCUUUUCUGUAAAGGAUUAUGUGUUAAUACAUUAGACACUGUGGCCAAUCACAGAUAAUAUGUAAUGAUUGAACCUAGCUGCAUUCUAAUAUUUUUAAAGGCAAAUGGGCUCCAGCUUCUGAAUCCUGGUAGGGAAAUUUCAUUUCUUCAUGUUUAGAUGGGUCAAAAUUAUUUUAAUCAAGAGAAAUGAAACAUUGUUGUUGCAUGCUCUUUAGCCAAUUUAAAUUGGACUAUUUCUAUAAAUCUCAAACAUUAUUAUUUUGUCUUAAAAAUGUUCGCUUGUGGGGAGAGGGAAAAUGUCUGCAGUCCAAUGUCAUCCUUUCCUGAACAUGGAGUGGAAAAUAUUUAUUAAAAGUGGGGAAAGGUUGGGGAUUUAGCUCAGUGGUAGAGCGCUUGCCUAGGAAGCGCAAGGCCCUGGGUUCGGUCCCCAGCUCCGGAAAAAAAAAAGAACCAAAAAAAAAAAAAAGUGGAGAAAGAAAAUUAUACAAAUGAAAUUAGUUCAAUAAUUUUGUUAUACUGCAUUUUAUUAAUCAUUAUUGUUUAUUUACUUAACCUAAUUUCUGUACUACAUAUUUAUUUGGUUUUGAAUUGCUUCUAAGUAUCAGGCUUCUUUUUGUUGUUCAUAUCAUAUGCGUGCAUGCACUCGCACACACACACACACAUCACAUGCACACCCACAGCACACGAACAUAUACACACUCACGCCACAUGCACACACACUACAUGCACACAUACAUACAAUCACACACACACCACAUGCAUAUGUAUACACACAUCACACACAGCACACUCACAUGCACACACAUCACACACACAUGAUCAAACACACCACACUGCACACACAUGCUACACACACACACAUACCACAUGCACAUACUUAUAGACCCAUACACACACUCAUACACAUACUAUACACACAUGCACUCAUUCACACACACUCCACACACAUACACACUUACACAUAUACACUAUACACACAUAAUAUACUAACACACUAUACACACACACACAAUGCACAUGCACCACACACACAUACACACACUUACACACACAUACACAUAAUACACACACUCACACAUACCACACAUGCAUGCGUACACACACAUAAUACACCAUACGCCACAUACACAUAUACAUACUUACAGAUAUACAUGCAUGUUUUUAUCCUUGUAAUGAUGAACAGUCUUAUGGUUUUUCUGUGACUGAAUAUUUUUCAUGUGAAAUUGUUAGUUAGGACUUUCCUUUACAUCUUCAGGAUUUUUUUUUUUUUGUUCUUUCAGGUAUUUUCAUACUUUUUGGACACAUUUUUGCCACAGUCAGGUAUCUCUAAAUGACUAAACAUGUUUAUGUUUAUAUUCUUUUUCUGUGAUUCUGAUACCUGUCACUUUUGUCCAUAUGAUUUUGCAAAUUUUUCUGACUCUUGCUUAUUGCAACUUUUCCACAUAAGUGUUUUAUGGUAUUUUAUUUGAAUGCUUGGUCACAUAAAUAUUAUCUUUGCAAUUUUUAUGUUCAUGUGGUUUAUGUAUAUGUAUGUGCUUAUGUGUAUAUAAUUAUGUUUUCUGAAUGGUAUGUGUGUAUGUUUUUAUGUGCACAUGUAUGAGUGUGUGUGUGUGUGUGUGUGUGUAGCCUAGAGGUCAAGGUCAAACGUCUUCCUCAG